CAUGUAUAUAUAAACACAGGGUCAAGUGACCCAAACCCAAAACUCCCUUGACCAACUCUAUGGGAGAUUAGGUUAACCCAAGCCCAUGUACAUCCAUGACUCGACCUAAUCUCACCUAUCCUGGGCUCAGAUCUGGCCCAUAAAGAGUUGGUCCCUUGAGGCCCACAUAACCUAGACCUCAAGAACCCGAAAGGUCCACAGCCUUUCAACCUAGGGCCUAACUAGCCCUAGAGCCUCCAUGAAGCCCUCAUGAAUGAUGGACCUUGGCCUUAGCCUUGGUCCCCUGGGCCUUGGGCACACCACCUGGAUCACAACAGUAAGGUUGAAGAUUGCGGAGCUUGGGUUAAUGAUACCUACUUGUUUUUUUAAGCUUAUUUCAUCAAACCUAAGUUUUCUUGAACAGACUAUUGGACCA
rnacentral:lncRNA from 1 species